rnacentral:rRNA from 1 species
UGGGGAAUUUUGGACAAUGGGGGCAACCCUGAUCCAGCCAUGCCGCGUGCGGGAAGAAGGCCUUCGGGUUGUAAACCGCUUUUGUCGGGGAAGAAACGGUCUGCGCUAAUACCGCGGGCUAAUGACGGUACCCGAAGAAUAAGCACCGGCUAACUACGUGCCAGCAGCCGCGGUAAUACGUAGGGUGCAAGCGUUAAUCGGAAUUACUGGGCGUAAAGCGUGCGCAGGCGGCUUUGCAAGACAGAUGUGAAAUCCCCGGGCUCAACCUGGGAACUGCAUUUGUGACUGCAUGGCUGGAGUGCGGCAGAGGGGGAUGGAAUUCCGCGUGUAGCAGUGAAAUGCGUAGAUAUGCGGAGGAACACCGAUGGCGAAGGCAAUCCCCUGGGCCUGCACUGACGCUCAUGCACGAAAGCGUGGGGAGCAAACAGGAUUAGAUACCCUGGUAGUCCACGCCCUAAACGAUGUCAACUGGUUGUUGGACGGCUUGCUGUUCAGUAACGAAGCUAACGCGUGAAGUGACCGCCUG